UGCAAGUCGAGGGGUAUAUGUCUUCGGAUAUAGAGACCGGCGCACGGGUGCGUAACGCGUAUGCAAUCUACCUUUUACAGAGGGAUAGCCCAGAGAAAUUUGGAUUAAUACCUCAUAGUAUUAUUGAGUGGCAUCACUUAAUAAUUAAAGUCACAACGGUAAAAGAUGAGCAUGCGUCCCAUUAGCUAGUUGGUAAGGUAACGGCUUACCAAGGCAACGAUGGGUAGGGGUCCUGAGAGGGAGAUCCCCCACACUGGUACUGAGACACGGACCAGACUCCUACGGGAGGCAGCAGUGAGGAAUAUUGGACAAUGGGCGCAAGCCUGAUCCAGCCAUGCCGCGUGCAGGAUGACGGUCCUAUGGAUUGUAAACUGCUUUUGUACGAGAAGAAACACUGCUUCGUGAAGCAGCUUGACGGUAUCGUAAGAAUAAGGAUCGGCUAACUCCGUGCCAGCAGCCGCGGUAAUACGGAGGAUCCAAGCGUUAUCCGGAAUCAUUGGGUUUAAAGGGUCCGUAGGCGGUUUAGUAAGUCAGUGGUGAAAGCCCAUCGCUCAACGGUGGAACGGCCAUUGAUACUGCUGAACUUGAAUUAUUAGGAAGUAACUAGAAUAUGUAGUGUAGCGGUGAAAUGCUUAGAGAUUACAUGGAAUACCAAUUGCGAAGGCAGGUUACUACUAAUUGAUUGACGCUGAUGGACGAAAGCGUGGGGAGCGAACAGGAUUAGAUACCCUGGUAGUCCACGCCGUAAACGAUGGAUACUAGCUGUUGGGAGCAAUCUCAGUGGCUAAGCGAAAGUGAUA
rnacentral:rRNA from 1 species